rnacentral:rRNA from 1 species
UACGGGGGGAGCAAGCGUUGUUCGGAUUUACUGGGCGUAAAGGGUGCGUAGGCGGCGGGGCAAGUCUGAUGUGAAAUCCCGGGGCUCAACCCCGGAACUGCAUUGGAUACUGCCUUGCUUGAGUACUGGAGAGGGAACUGGAAUUUACGGUGUAGCAGUGAAAUGCGUAGAGAUCGUAAGGAAGGCCAGUGGCGAAGGCGAGUUCCUGGACAGUUACUGACGCUGAGGCACGAAGGCCAGGGGAGCAAACGGG